GAUGAACGCUGGCGGCGUGCUUAACACAUGCAAGUCGAGCGAAGCACUUUCUCGGAAGUUUUCGGAUGGAAGAGGGAUUGACUGAGCGGCGGACGGGUGAGUAACGCGUGGGGAACCUGCCUCAUACAGGGGAAUAACAGUUAGAAAUGACUGCUAAUGCCGCAUAAGCGCACACUGUGGCAUCACAGGGUGUGAAAAACUCCGGUGGUAUGAGAUGGCCCCGCGUCUGAUUAGGCAGUUGGCGGGGUAACGGCCCACCAAACCGACGAUCAGUAGCCGACCUGAGAGGGUGACCGGCCACAUUGGGACUGAGACACGGCCCAA
rnacentral:rRNA from 1 species